rnacentral:piRNA from 1 species
UAAACAGCGUGAUCUCUCUCAGUUCUGUC